UACGUAGGGUGCGAGCGUUGUCCGGAAUUAUUGGGCGUAAAGAGCUCGUAGGCGGUUUGUCGCGUCUGCCGUGAAAGUCCGGGGCUCAACUCCGGAUCUGCGGUGGGUACGGGCAGACUAGAGUGAUGUAGGGGAGACUGGAAUUCCUGGUGUAGCGGUGAAAUGCGCAGAUAUCAGGAGGAACACCGAUGGCGAAGGCGGGUCUCUGGGCAUUAACUGACGCUGAGGAGCGAAAGCAUGGGGAGCGAACAGG
rnacentral:rRNA from 1 species